GACGAACGCUGGCGGCGUGCCUAAUACAUGCAAGUAGAACGCACAGUUUAUACCGUAGCUUGCUACACCAUACACUGUGAGUUGCGAACGGGUGAGUAACGCGUAGGUAACCUGCCUGGUAGCGGGGGAUAACUAUUGGAAACGAUAGCUAAUACCGCAUAAUAUUAAUUAUUGCAUGAUAAUUGAUUGAAAGAUGCAAUUGCAUCACUACCAGAUGGACCUGCGUUGUAUUAGCUAGUAGGUGAGGUAACGGCUCACCUAGGCGACGAUACAUAGCCGACCUGAGAGGGUGAUCGGCCACACUGGGACGGAGACACGGCCCAGACGACUACGGGAGGCAGCAGUAGGGAAUCUUCGGCAAUGGACGAAAGUCUGACCGAGCAACGCCGCGUGAGUGAAGAAGGUUGUCGGAUCGUAAAGCUCUGUUGUAAGAGAAGAACGGGUGUGAGAGUGGAAAGUUCACACUGUGACGGUAUCUUACCAGAAAGGGACGGCUAACUACGUG
rnacentral:rRNA from 1 species